rnacentral:rRNA from 1 species
GAGCGGCGAACGGGUGAGUAACACGUGAGUAACCUGCCCCNGACUCUGGGAUAAGCCCGGGAAACUGGGUCUAAUACCGGAUAUGACACCUCCUCGCAUGGGGUGGGUGUGGAAAGUCUUUUCGGUUGGGGAUGGACUCGCGGCCUAUCAGCUUGUUGGUGGGGUAAUGGCCUACCAAGGCGACGACGGGUAGCCGGCCUGAGAGGGCGACCGGCCACACUGGGACUGAGACACGGCCCAGACUCCUACGGGAGGCAGCAGUGGGGAAUAUUGCGCAAUGGGCGAAAGCCUGACGCAGCGACGCCGCGUGGGGGAUGACGGCCUUCGGGUUGUAAACCUCUUUCAGCAGGGACGAAGUUGACGUGUACCUGCAGAAGAAGCGCCGGCUAACUACGUGCCAGCAGCCGCGGUAAUACGUAGGGCGCAAGCGUUGUCCGGAAUUAUUGGGCGUAAAGAGCUCGUAGGUGGCUUGUCACGUCGGGUGUGAAAGCUUGGGGCUUAACUCCAGGUCUGCAUC